GCAAUGGUGGUUCAGUGGCAGGAUUCUCACCUUUCAUGCGGGAGACACGGGUUCAGCUCCCGGUCGGUGCA
rnacentral:tRNA from 1 species